rnacentral:rRNA from 1 species
CCUACGGGAGGCAGCAGUAGGGAAUAUUGGGCAAUGGAGGCAACUCUGACCCAGCCAUGCCGCGUGCAGGAAGAAGGCGUUAUGCGUUGUAAACUGCUUUUAUAUAGGAAGAAAUAGUCCUUGCGAGGAAAGUUGACGGUACUAUAUGAAUAAGCACCGGCUAACUCCGUGCCAGCAGCCGCGGUAAUACGGAGGGUGCAAGCGUUGUCCGGAUUUAUUGGGUUUAAAGGGUGCGUAGGCGGUUUAUUAAGUCAGUGGUGAAAGACGGUCGCUCAACGAUUGCAGUGCCAUUGAUACUGGUAGACUUGAGUGGGAUUGAGGUAGCUGGAAUGGAUAGUGUAGCGGUGAAAUGCAUAGAUAUUAUCCAGAACACCAAUUGCGUAGGCAAGUUACUAAGUCUCAACUGACGCUGAGGCACGAAAGUGUGGGUAUCAAACAGGAUUAGAUACCCUGGUAGUCCACACUGUAAACGAUGAUAACUAACUGUUGGCUUUCGGGUCAGUGGUACAGAGAAAUCGUUAAGUUAUCCACCUGGGGAGUACGCCGGCAACGGUGAAACGUCAAAGGAAUUGAGG